AAGGAAAAAAAUCUAAUUGACUUGUCAGGAUUGUUUUUCAUCUUUAAUUAAGGCUCGUGAAGGAAGCAGUAAUUACACUUUACUGAUAAAUAAUAAAAAGGGGGAUCAUGCAAAUCAAAACCAAGCCCUGCCCUUGGGAAGGGCCUUGGGUGUGUGGGUGCAGCCCUGGCAGGGUGUCCCUGGGGCUCAGCUCUGUGUCCCCAGGGCUGUCCUGGAGGGCAGGGUGGGCUCAGGCUGCUCUGAAGAGAGAGACAGAGCUGCUCCCAGCAGGAACCGAGAAUUGUGGCUGGUUCAGAGGCAUGGACAGCCCAGAGAGCCAACAGGGCCCCAGAGGCAGGACAGGAGCAGAAGUUGAGGUGCUCAUCCUGUGGAGAUGUCCUGUGGAGAUGUCCUUCUGUCCCACCUGGAUUCAUCAGUGUCCUGGCUCUUUCCCUAAUCCUGGCUGACAGACAGCGCUGGAAGUGUUGGGGAGUUCAGCUCCAGCCCGGGGUGUCAGCAGUUGGCACAGAGGUGGCAGGAGGGGACCCCUGUGCCAGCCCUCUCCACCUGCCCCGAGGGGCUGCUGUUCCCAGAAGAUGCUCAGCUUUGUCCUGACUGCCCCCACCGUGGCCAUCCUGCCCCUGGAGAGCCCCAAAACCUCUGCAGGACACGGGGAAUGUUGUCAGGAGGGUGCCCAGAGCUCACCCAGCCCGGUGCAGAGGGCCAGGCCCGAGGCUGUCAGGGAAUGGUGGACAAGGAUUCCUCUUCCUCUCUUCCUUCAGGAGAAGCCAGACCCUUCCCAGGGUGAGGGCCCCACCUGGAGCCCCCAUCCCUGUCCCUCCAAGCAGCUCAUGGCACUUCAGACCUCUAAAUGUUCGGCUUGUUCCUUUUGAUGUGGCAUGUUGGAAGCUGCCUCGAGCCGAGGGGCAGGCCAGAGGCAGGGCUGAGGGAGGCUGUGUUAACCCUCCUGACUGACCUGGCAGAUUAAUUCAUUAAAACGAAACCAAAUUCAACAUGCCCAUUUAUCGCCUGGGAUGUCCCUGCAAGGCCAAGAGCUGCUGUGGCUCAGGCUGGGCUCAUCCUCACCCCAUCCUCAUCCUCUGACCCUGAACUGCAGAGCCCUGUGGGGCUGCCCACGCC
rnacentral:lncRNA from 1 species